GUUGUCCAGCUUGCAUUUUGAUAGGUUUAGGACCAACUUCAGGAGCAUUAUCACCACAUGCUAGCUUGAUUUCCACUUCGCGUCGCAUCAGUUCCUUCUUGGUUUCAACCGAGACGCGCGGACAUCCGGAUAAACUACACAAAUAACAAGAUUAGUUAAUUAGUAAGAUGAUGAUAAUUUAGAUUCAUUGUAAGCAGGGCCGCCGAGAGCUUGGCGGGGGCCCGGGGCAAAAAAUUUUUUAGGGGCCCCUAUUGCAAAAAAAUUUUCCGGAAAAAAUUUUUUCGGACAAUAAAUUCUUUUUAGGUGCGUUAUAAUUGCUUUCGUUGGACUUUUCCGCAAUUUUCCAUACCAAAUUUCGGUUCAUUGCCCCCAAAACACAAAUAUUUUGGCCCGAAAACAGAAAAUUUCGCCCGAAAAAAUGACUGGGGCCC